rnacentral:rRNA from 1 species
AGCCUAGCGCUAAGGCUCAAUGUGGUUUUGGGUGCUUGCACACAGAAUCGCUAGAAAGCAUUGAGCGGUGCAGCGUUACAAACUUUGAUGUUUAGUGUCACCAAUGGUGGCAAGUGCGGGCAACUGUAUUUGCUGCUUUUUAGGCCCAGCGUACAAGUCCCACUGACUUGGGCUUAUUCUUACAAUUGAGAUGUCUACAGGCCUGGGGCAACCUGGGUCCGUGGAUGAGCCAUAGAGGGUGAAAGUCCCUUAAUGCGCGGGUAUUGGUGUCACGAAUCAGAGCAGUGGCGUUCGUGGCGAAAGUUGCGGGCGUUACGGUUUGUCAGAGUCGGGUUGCUUGAGAGUGCAACCUAAAGAGCGAGGUAAACUGCUCGUAAGGCUAUAUUGUAAAUACGGCUACGACACCGAUAGCAAACAAGUACCGUGAGGGAAAGUUGCAAAGUACUUUGAAGAGAGAGUUAAACAGGGCGUGAAACCGCUAGCUGGAAAACGAGUGGAGCCACGAAGUCGUUUCGUAGAUCACGGGUGGCAAACUCAGCCGAGGCACCGUUGUAAAAGGCGGUGUUUUGGUGUAUUUUUGCUCAAAACCCGCUACUGUAAGCGUACACUGCAACCAAUUAGACGGACAAGCGUGGAAAUAGUUGGCGCGUUUAUGGGGCAACCUGUGGCGUGUUGGCGAAAAUAUUUGUGCAUUUGCGUGUAGGUAGCCGCGGGUUAAUGAGUGGUGUGUUUGCGCACAUUACCCGCCCCGCGGUGUAUGACAUUAUUCGUGGAUGCGUGAACUACGCUUGUGUACUGAUUGGCACAAUGAAAAUCGAGCCAUCGUGCUCGUUGCAUAAAAUGCGGUCAAUAUUGUGUUCGUGUACAAUUGCUCGCCGCUUGUAAUAAGCUUGGUAUUUUUGAAUUCAGGCACGUAUAUUGUCAGUGUGCUUGUCGCACGGACAUAUGCGCUGUUUCCUGUCUAAUCGAGUAUCGACUUUUCUGGCGGUUUGAUGUAGUUGAGACGAUAGCAUCGGACGCGAUAAUUGGCUUGCAAUUGAUGGCAGUGAGUAGGUCGGCUUUCCACACGACCCGUCUUGAAACACGGACCAAGGAGUCUAGUUAAGUAUCGAGUCGAUCGGUCUUGAUUAGGCCAGACACCGGGAGCCUUGUGCGUCCUGGUUAAUUUACAAUGACGGCACAGUGAAAUCAAAUCAUAUGUGAUCUGAGGCCUACAACAAUGGUCUACAGCGCAACAUAUGCCCACUUGUAUGGUUAUACGCGCAAGUGUUAGCCAAGUGGAGCAAAGAGAUACUUGACUGGUACCCGAAAGAUGGUGAACUAUUCCUGGCCAAAUUGAAGCCAGAGGAAACUCUGGUGGAGGAUUGUAGCGAUUCUGACGUGCAAAUCGAUCGUCAGAGCUGGGUAUAGGGGCGAAAGACUAAUCGAACCAUCUAGUAGCUGGUUCCCUCCGAAGUUUCCCUCAGGAUAGCAAGCUCUCGCAGAAAUGUGAAAUAGUUUCAUCUGGUAAAGCGAAUGAUUAGAGGCCUUGGGAGCGAAACGCUCUCAACCUAUUCUCAAACUUUAAAUGGGUGAGAUGUACGACGUGCUUAAUUGACGCCGUGUGUUUACAGAAUGUAUUGAGAGCUUAGUGGGCCAUUUUUGGUAAGCAGAACUGGCGAUGCGGGAUGAACCGAAAGUGAAGUUAAGGUUGCCGAUAAUGGUGCUUAAGAAUUUUCGUGCACUAGCUACACUCAUGAGAUCCCAUGAAAGGUGUAAGUUGCUUAUGACAGCAAGGACGUGGCCAUGGAAGUCGGAAACAUCUAAGGAGUGUGUAACAACUCACUUGCCGAAGCAACUUGCCCUGAAAAUGGAAGCAGCUCGAGUGUUGAACCUAUACUUGACCGUUGAAUCGUGGUCGUCGAGAAUCUUUGUAUAUAAGCGAUUAGUUAUGAUUCAACGUGUAGGAGGGUUGUGUUGGUAGCGUUGAAGGCUAAGAGGGAGUGAUCCUGGCUGGAGCUGCCAAUAGUACAGAUCUUGGUGGUAGUAGCAAAUACUCAAGUGAGACCCUUGAGGGCCAAUGUGGAGAAGGGUUCCAUGCUAACAGCAAUUGGACAUGGGUCAGUCGGUCCUAAGAGAAUGGCGAAAGCUAUUUCUGAAUCAAAGGCAGUGUGUUUGAAAAAAAUAUAAAACUGCAUGACUCGAAAGGGAAUUAGGUUAAUAUUCCUAAACCAAGAUGGGGAGAUUGUCAGAUGUGCGGUGCCAUUUAUUUGGCCUGUGCAAAUGACAAAGGCGGUAACGCAAACAAGCACGAUGACGCCGGCGGCAGCCCUGGGAAGAGUUGUCUUUUCUUUGUAAGCUUACUGUGUUUUUUCAACGAGACCUUGGAAUCGAAUCAUUCGAAGAUAAGGUCGUAGUAAGCGUAAAACAGUGCGGUUCUAGCACUGUCCGGAGAGCUGUCUUCGGCCCUUGAAAAAUCGUGUGCGCGGAGUAUGCGUUUGGGGCUGUUGUCUUUCAACGG